GACAGAGGGUGCAAACGUUGCUCGGAAUCACUGGGCGUAAAGGGCGUGUAGGCGGGAAGGAAAGUCAGAUGUGAAAUCCCCAGGCUCAACCUGGGAACUGCAUUUGAAACUCCCUUUCUUGAGUACCGGAGAGGAAAGUGGAAUUCCUGGUGUAGAGGUGAAAUUCGUAGAUAUCAGGAGGAACACCAGUGGCGAAGGCGGCUUUCUGGGCGGUAACUGACGCUGAGACGCGAAAGCGUGGGGAGCAAACAGG
rnacentral:rRNA from 1 species